rnacentral:rRNA from 1 species
ACACAUGCAAGUCGAGCGGUAGCACAGAGAGCUUGCUCUCGGGUGACGAGCGGCGGACGGGUGAGUAAUGUCUGGGAAACUGCCUGAUGGAGGGGGAUAACUACUGGAAACGGUAGCUAAUACCGCAUAACGUCGCAAGACCAAAGUGGGGGACCUUCGGGCCUCAUGCCAUCAGAUGUGCCCAGAUGGGAUUAGCUAGUAGGUGGGGUAACGGCUCACCUAGGCGACGAUCCCUAGCUGGUCUGAGAGGAUGACCAGCCACACUGGAACUGAGACACGGUCCAGACUCCUACGGGAGGCAGCAGUGGGGAAUAUUGCACAAUGGGCGCAAGCCUGAUGCAGCCAUGCCGCGUGUGUGAAGAAGGCCUUCGGGUUGUAAAGUACUUUCAGCGGGGAGGAAGGCGUUGAGGUUAAUAACCUUGGCGAUUGACGUUACCCGCAGAAGAAGCACCGGCUAACUCCGUGCCAGCAGCCGCGGUAAUACGGAGGGUGCAAGCGUUAAUCGGAAUUACUGGGCGUAAAGCGCACGCAGGCGGUCUGUCAAGUCGGAUGUGAAAUCCCCGGGCUCAACCUGGGAACUGCAUUCGAAACUGGCAGGCUAGAGUCUUGUAGAGGGGGGUAGAAUUCCAGGUGUAGCGGUGAAAUGCGUAGAGAUCUGGAGGAAUACCGGUGGCGAAGGCGGCCCCCUGGACAAAGACUGACGCUCAGGUGCGAAAGCGUGGGGAGCAAACAGGAUUAGAUACCCUGGUAGUCCACGCCGUAAAACGAUGUCGAUUUGGAGGUUGUGCCCUUGAGGCGUGGCUUCCGGAGCUAACGCGUUAAAUCGACCGCCUGGGGAGUACGGCCGCAAGGUUAAAACUCAAAUGAAUUGACGGGGGCCCGCACAAGCGGUGGAGCAUGUGGUUUAAUUCGAUGCAACGCGAAGAACCUUACCUGGUCUUGACAUCCACAGAACUUUCCAGAGAUGGAUUGGUGCCUUCGGGAACUGUGAGACAGGUGCUGCAUGGCUGUCGUCAGCUCGUGUUGUGAAAUGUUGGGUUAAGUCCCGCAACGAGCGCAACCCUUAUCCUUUGUUGCCAGCGGUUCGGCCGGGAACUCAAAGGAGACUGCCAGUGAUAAACUGGAGGAAGGUGGGGAUGACGUCAAGUCAUCAUGGCCCUUACGACCAGGGCUACACACGUGCUACAAUGGCAUAUACAAAGAGAAGCGACCUCGCGAGAGCAAGCGGACCUCAUAAAGUAUGUCGUAGUCCGGAUUGGAGUCUGCAACUCGACUCCAUGAAGUCGGAAUCGCUAGUAAUCGUAGAUCAGAAUGCUACGGUGAAUACGUUCCCGGGCCUUGUACACACCGCCCGUCACACCAUGGGAGUGGGUUGCAAAAGAAGUAGGUAGCUUAACCUUCGGGAGGGCGCUCACCA